GCCUGUUGCUUUCUCACAGAUCUGUCUGUUACUUUAACAUUGCUGCAUUCCAAAACUCUGUUACAUCCCUUGGAGUUGAGUUUUUCAUGCCUGCCCUUCAGGCAUUCCUUCUACCCACCUUGGUCCUCCAUGUGUUAUCUCACCAUAGAACAAGGAUGGUUUAAUGCAAAUGAUGUGUUUCAGGACUUAAUUGGUUCUGGUUACUUGAAUUUAAUGCAGAUGAUACUCCUGAUACUCUUUAUCUGCCAUGUCCAGAUCUGAAAGCCUAGUGGAAAGUCACUAUGUAGACUUUCAAUUUGGUAACAUUUAUUGCUGCACUAACUCCAUGCUGUCUUUUAAAAAGAUGAUUUGGACUUUUUUUUUUUUUAAUAGGUACCAGGGAUUGAACCUGAGACCUCCUACAUGGGAAGUAAUGUGCUCAACCACAGCACUACAUUCACUCCCCCAAUAUGGACAUCUUGAUCUGGUUUUCAGUCUCCCUAAUAAUCAGGACAUUAUUGGCGAUGAUCCAACCAGAUCUUGAGGUUUCAGAGUAAUCAUGCUUCUCACCUGGUGCCUGCCUUCCAAGAGACGGGGAGAAAAAGCUGCCAUGUCAGUUAAGGGUCAUGUCUGGAACUGGAACAUCAUCAUUUUUGCUGAAUUAUAUUAUGCAGACAUACCACAGGAUUUAUCGAGAUUCAAGGGAGUAGAGAAAUGGACUACUUCAUGAUAGGGGAGCAGCAAGGUCAUAUUGCAAAAGAGUAUGUGGAAUGGGAAAUAUUGUUGUGACCAUCAUUGUAAAAUGUGAUCUGCUGCAAUGGCAAAAUAAAAAAUCAAAUUCAGACUCAACUA
rnacentral:lncRNA from 1 species